rnacentral:rRNA from 1 species
GGAAUCAACGCUGGCGGCGUGCCUAACACAUGCAAGUCGAACGCGAAAGUCCCGAAAGGGGCAAGUAGAGUGGCAAACGGGUGAGUAACACGUGGGUGACCUGCCUUCGAGCGGGGGAUAACGUCCCGAAAGGGACGCUAAUACCGCAUAACAUCCUGCCUUUGAAGAGGUGGAGAUCAAAGCUGGGGAUCGCAAGACCCGGCACUUGAAGAGGGGCCCGCGUCUGAUUAGCUAGUUGGUGGGUAACGGCCUACCAAGGCAACGAUCAGUA